CAGACAAAAUCUGGAAUUGCUUUGCUGUACAAUGAGGAGACCAACAAUACCUAUGAUGUCUGCCUGAAAUUGACCAAAGAGGCGUUAACCAUACAGAAGCUGGAUGUGGUUUGCACAAAUGGAAGUGAAUCCCAAGUAAAUAACUGUUUUACUGCGAAGACAGGCGGCUGGCGGUCUGGGCUUAAGCAUCAAAGGGGGUGCAGAGCACAACGUCCCUGUGGUUAUUUCCAAGAUUUUUAAAGAUCAAGUAG